rnacentral:rRNA from 1 species
GCGGAGGCCUACACAUGCAAGUCGAGGGGUAACUAGAGUGAUAGCAAUAUUACUUUGGCUAGACCGGCGCACGGGUGCGUAACACGUAUGCAACCUACCUUAUACUGGGGAAUAACUUCGAGAAAUCGGCGCUAAUACCCCAUAACACUGCGAAGAGGCAUCUCUUUGCAUUUAAAGCUCCGGCGGUAUAAGAUGGGCAUGCGUCCAAUUAGCUAGUUGGUGAGGUAAUGGCUCACCAAGGCUACGAUUGGUAGGGGUUCUGAGAGGAUGAUCCCCCACACUGGUACUGAGACACGGACCAGACUCCUACGGGAGGCAGCAGUGAGGAAUAUUGCGCAAUGGACGAAAGUCUGACGCAGCCAUGCCGCGUGCAGGAUGACGGCCCUAUGGGUUGUAAACUGCUUUUGUAUGGGAAUAAACCCUUCUACGUGUAGAAGGCUGAAGGUACCAUAAGAAUAAGCACCGGCUAACUCCGUGCCAGCAGCCGCGGUAAUACGGAGGGUGCAAGCGUUAUCCGGAUUUAUUGGGUUUAAAGGGUCCGUAGGCGGGCCGAUAAGUCAGUGGUGAAAGCCCAUAGCUCAACUAUGGAACUGCCAUUGAUACUGUCGGUCUUGAGUAUAUGUGAUGUUGGCGGAAUGUGUAGUGUAGCGGUGAAAUGCUUAGAUAUUACACAGAACACCGAUUGCGAAGGCAGCUGACAAAUAUAUAACUGACGCUGAGGGACGAAAGUGUGGGGAUCAAACAGGAUUAGAUACCCUG